GAAGGAUCCGCGUCAUCUUACUGUCCCGGUACGGCACAUGAGUCUUCUGCACCGACAGAGAGAGUUUAAAUGGGUUAAAGGUAUUGGUGUAAUAUGCAGAUGAUGUGUGACUCACGGUGCCUUCGGCCAGAGCCGAGAUGACGUUUCCCAGCGCCGACAGAGACUUGUUGAUGUUCUUGGCUUCAUCCAGGACCGAUCCCUCCGCUCCCGUCUUACUCACCUGGACAAAUAACGCGAGACUUCAAAUGUUUGGGGAGGACGGUUUGAGACAUUAAUGAGAUAUAUUUCCUGUCAUGAGGCUGAAGGACAUCAUAUUUCCAUCACCUUCUCGCUGCCGGCCAGGUCCACCAGGUAUUUUCCCAGAAUGCUCAGUGACUCAGCGUGUCAGACACAGAUGAGCAGUUGUUCAUCAGCCUGAUGAUGUCCUCAUUCAGCAGAUGUGAACACAGACGCUCUUAUCUGAGGCUCAAACGCACACAUCUGUGUGUCGCUGGUGUUCGACUGUUCAGGAUUGAUCGUUUUACGGGGUUUUCAGCUAAAUAUAUACUAGCGUCCGUGAGAUUUCGUAAUGUGUUUGAAAGAGUCUCCUCUGCUCACCAAGGCUGCUUUUAUG